rnacentral:rRNA from 1 species
CGGGGUGUUAGGGCACGACACCGGANAGGGAGCCUGAGAAACGGCUACCACAUCCAAGGAUGGCAGCAGGCGCGCAAAUUACCCAAUCCCGACACGGGGAGGUAGUGACAAUAAAUAACAAUACGGGGUUCUUUAGGAUUUCGUAAUCGGAAUGAGUACAAUUUAAAUCUCUUAACGAGGAACAAUUGGAGGGCAAGUCUGGUGCCAGCAGCCGCGGUAAUUCCAGCUCCAAUAGCGUAUAUUAAAGUUGUUGCAGUUAAAAAGCUCGUAGUUGAAUUUCGGGGUCAGUAGGUUGGUCAUGCCACUGGUAUGUACUGGUCUCACUGAUUCCUCCUUCCUGAUGAGCCGUAAUGCCAUUAAUUUGGUGUUGCGAGGAAUCUGACUGUUACUUUGAAAAAAUUAGAGUGUUUAAGGCAGGCUAACGCUUGAAUACAUUAGCAUGGAAUAAUGAAGUAGGACGUUCGAUCUUGUUUUGUUGGUUUCUAAGAUUGACGUAAUGAUUAAUAGGGAUAGUUGGGGGCAUUAGUAUUCAAUUGUCAGAGGUGAAAUUCUUGGAUUUAUUGAAGACUAACUACUGCGAAAGCAUUUGCCAAGGAUGUUUUCAUUAAUCAAGAACGAAAGUUAGGGGAUCGAAGACGAUCAGAUACCGUCGUAGUCUUAACCAUAAACUAUGCCGACUAGGGAUCGGAUGAU